CAUGAGACUCAGUUCCUCCAAUGGUGUUUCACCUCCUGAAGAUCCUGUACCCUCUCAGAACAGCACCAGCCAGAGCAUGGAGCGGGAGGGGAGACACGAGCUGGCUUCAGCAUCCAUCCCUUUCUGUCUCUUCUCUGAGUGCCCAUGAACAACCUCAACUUCCGGCCACCACACCUUUCCCUCCACAAUGGACUGCAUCCCCCAGCUGUGAGGAGGAGCAAACCCUUUCUCCUUGAGUCAGGUGUUUUGUCGAAGCAUCAAGAAGAGCAAGUGGCACACUUAGAACCUUGGCACGACCACGGCCAUGUUUUCAGUACGGAAGAUUCAAAUAUACUGGACCUGCUUCUGUGGGCAGAUAAGCCACAUCUCAGGCCUCUGGAUCAUUGAGUGAGGUUGAACCCCCUCACAGGAGGAUAAAGUCCCUGAGUAGCUUCCUCUUUCACCAAGAAACCCAGAGCCACUCAUGGGGCCUUCUUAGUGCUCAUUGCUUGAUGCCCCGUGUCAAUGACAGUGACCUCUACCUCAGGGUGAUGAGCAGGCAGGUGCCCAUUAGCUCAGCCCCAGGCGCUUUGACUGGCUGACUUGGGAUGACAGUUGGCCAACUGAUACCCAGUGCUGCAGCUGGCUGUCACACCUGAGGUUCUUCUCCUGGGACAGCAGGCAUCUUGGCCCCCAUCUCCAGUGUUAGGUGACGGCUGACUGACCAGACUUGCUAGGCAAGUCCUGGCUCAUUUGUCCCAGCCCCAGCAAACUCAGCUGCCUUUAUGGGCUGGAGAGGAUCUGGCAUGAAUCCCUGGCUGCGAAGACGGCAGCUGCAGAAUCUAUCUAACUUGCCCAUCCCCCAUCCUCUGCCCUUUGCCUCUGGUACCCACUGGGCUUCUGCACUGGGCCCUGAACAAUUACAGUGGAGAGCCAACUUCAAGAUCUGCCUGGUGUGUUGGCCAUCAGCGUGGCAGGGCUAUGUUUAGCUCCAGAAUUUCAGCUUCCUGAUCUUAGGAACGGUGACAAAAGCAUUGGAGGCAAAGAGAGAAGAUCUGCAGCUUCUGUUCCCUGGCUACACUGAAGACAGAAAGAGGAAGCUACGUGCCCAGCCAACCACCACUCGGGCUUGAGGUUGUCAGGGAAGCCAUCCUGCCAGACAAUGGAGAAUUUAAGAGAGGGGCAGAAGAAGUGGCUCGGCUGUUAAGAGCGUUUGCUGCUCUUGCAGAAGACACAGGUUCAGUUUCCCAGGACUCGCAUGGUGGUUCACAACGACCUGUAACUCCAGUUCCAGGAGAUCUGACACCCUCUUCCGGCCUCCCCAGCCACCAGGUAUGUGGGCAGACACACUUGGAGGCAAACGCUCACACACUCAACUAGCCAGGGAGUCUGCUGGCCAGUAAAUCCCAACUGGACUGCUUCUAAAUCCUUCCUUGUAGCUGUCUGAUUUCAUUCCAUCACAAGUCUUAAAGAAAAUAAAAUAAAAUUGACAUUAUCACCCUCA